GAUGAACGCUGGCGGCGUGCCUAAUACAUGCAAGUCGAGCGAACGGACGAGAAUCUUGCUUUUCUGAUGUUAGCGGCGGACGGGUGAGUAACACGUGGAUAACCUACCUAUAAGACUUGGAUAACUUCGGGAAACCGGAUCUAAUACCGGAUAAUAUUUUGAACCGCAUGGUUCAAAAGUGAAAGACGGUCUUGCUGUCACUUAUAGAUGGAUCCGCGCUGCAUUAGCUAGUUGGUAAGGUAACGGCUUACCAAGGCAACGAUGCAUAGCGGACCUGAGAGGGUGAUCGGCCACACUGGAACUGAGACACGGUCCAGACUCCUACGGGAGGCAGCAGUAGGGAAUAUUACGCAAUGGGCGAAAGCAUGACGGAGCAAAGCCGCGUGAGUGAAGAAGGUCUUCGGAUCGUAAAACUCUGUUAUUAGGGAAGAAGAGAAGUGUAAGAAAAUGUGAACAUCUUGACGGUACCUAAAGAGAAAGCAACGGCUAACUACGUG
rnacentral:rRNA from 1 species